rnacentral:tRNA from 1 species
GGAGAGGUCGCAUAGCCUGGUCGAGUGCGCCUGCUUGGAGAGCAGGUAGGUCCUUUGGGCCUCCUGGGUUCGAAUCCCAGCCUCUCCGCCA